rnacentral:misc_RNA from 1 species
AAGUCGUAACAAGGUUUCCGUAGGUGAACCUGCGGAAGGAUCAUUACAUUCAGUAGCUUGCUACUGUUAGGGAGGCCAGUUAGUCUGUAUAGUAUCACUACUAAUAAGCAGCACAGCCUUCUGUCUGUACCCUUGUCUUUUGCGCACUCAUGUUUCCUCAGCUAGGUUUACGCCCGCCAGCUGGACAACUCUAUAACCUUUUUAAUUUUCAAUCAGCGUCUAAAAAACCUAAUAAUUACAACUUUUAACAACAGAUCUCUUGGUUCUG